CUGCCCCUACCUCUGCCACUUGCCAGAGACAGCGACGGGAGCAAGCGAACAGCACAGACCACAAGCCCUGACCUAAGAGAGGGCUUCACAGCACAAACUGACUCAAGGGGAUGUCUGGACUAAACUAUAGACAAUAGAAGUUAAACCACAUCUCUUCUACCAAGCACAGAGGACCUCAGUCCUAGAAGAAGCUGGAAUGCAGAAAUGAAUUCUGGAAUGCAGAAAGAGUUUGAAAGAGCCACAGAAACUAAAAUCUACAAAAAAGCUGCCAUGGGCAGAAUGCAGAGCCAAGGCUAGGUUUCCAGAAGAAUGUGUCAGUAAGAAAGAAACCUACAGCUAAUAAAAAAAA